rnacentral:rRNA from 1 species
AUUGAACGCUGGCGGCAUGCUUUACACAUGCAAGUCGAACGGUAACAGGCCUUCGGGUGCUGACGAGUGGCGAACGGGUGAGUAAUGCAUCGGAACGUACCCAGAGGUGGUGGAUAACGCAGCGAAAGCUGUGCUAAUACUGCAUGUGAUCUGAGGAUGAAAGCGGGGGACCGAGCAGCAAUGUUUGGCCUCGCGCCUUUGGAGCGGCCGAUGUCGGAUUAGCUAGUUGGUGGGGUAAAGGCCUACCAAGGCGACGAUCCGUAGCGGGUCUGAGAGGACGACCAGCCACACUGUGACUGAGACACGGCCCAGACUCCUACGGGAGGCAGCAGUGGGGAAUUUUGGACAAUGGGCGCAAGCCUGAUCCAGCAAUGCCGCGUGCGGGAAGAAGGCCUUCGGGUUGUAAACCGCUUUUGGCAGGAACGAAACGGUGUCCGCUAAUACCGGGCGCUAAUGACGGUACCUGCAGAAUAAGCACCGGCUAACUACGUG